rnacentral:rRNA from 1 species
CAAUGCAAAUCAGUUUUGCACUUCGGUGCUUAACUUUCCUGACCUCGGAUC